CCGUAAGACACUUUGUAUAUGGCCAUUGUGUUCUUUUUUAACAGCCUUCUUUAGGGAAAAGGGCAAUUACUUUCACUGUUGCCCACUCUAUGAUGACAAGUGGGGAGAGGACACUAGAAGAGGUUCUAUAUAGUUAGUAUGAGAGCCUCCAUUGUUCUACCUACGCUUGCACCUUAUGUCAUUUUUCUCCCCAUUUGGACAGAUCGGGAAUGCAUUUGAUUCAAUUUCCAUUGAGAGACUUCCUAUAUUCAGGAAUACGUAUCAAAAGAAUGCCAAUGAGCAUAAAACAAAAACGGUCUGCAUUUCAUAGGAACCCGAUUUCAACGGUCCUAACAACAAAAAGAAAAGAAACACGCUAUUAAAGUAGCCCUCCCAAGGGGCUGCCAGCUGCUUUUCAGUGCGUCCUGAGCCGGUGUCUUCUCUCCUCCGCGGGCUGCUCAGAUAUUCCUGAAUCGCUGCGCCUUCAGCAGCGCUUUCUCUCUCCCGCUGCCUCCCUGGCGCGGCUCUCCCUCCCUCCCUCCUUCCCUCCCUCGGCUUCUGCUCUUUCUUACUCCGCUCAGCUGCUUAACUACAGCUCCCACUGGAACUCGCACGAUCAAAACCAGCUCUCCUCCGGAGCCGCCUGCAGCCGCGCAUCACCUGGAGCCGGGCGGCGGACCCCGCGCGCCCGCCGCAGAGCCGCCAGGUAGCUGGGGGCGCGCAGGGGGUGCCCGUCUCCGGCUCGCCAGCCGCAGAGCAUCUCCCCGGGAUCCGCCGUACGCAGCCUGCGGGGCCGGCCGCGCCGAUGCCCGCGUUUCGGAGCAGCGAUGGGAAGAGCAAAGCCACUGGCCGUGGCAACUGAGAGUGGGGAGAGGUUGCGGCGGUAGAGUCGCUGCAGAAUGUGUGAGUGAAGACCGGAGCCCCGCCAGGUUCUCCAUCCCGCUCCGUCUUCGCUGUGUCCGGGAGGGCAGCCGGGGACCCGCUGCACUCUCCAGGCGGUGCCACCCUGGAUCUAUAACCGUGAACUCCCUACUGUGGAAAAUGGUAAACAAAGACAUGAAUGGAUUCCCAGUCAAGAAAUGCUCAGCCUUCCAAUUUUUUAAGAAGCGGGUACGAAGAUGGAUCAAGAGCCCAAUGGUCAGUGUGGACAAGCAUCAGAGUCCCAGCCUGAAGUAUACAGGCCCCUCAGUCAUGCACAUCCCUCCAGGAGAGCCAGAUUUUGAGUCUUCCUUGUGUCCAACGUGCCUGGGAGACCAUGCUUUCCAAAGAGGUGUUCUCCCUCAGGAGAAAGAGUCAUGUUCAUGGGAAACUCAAUCCGGGUGUGAAGCGAAAGAACCAUGUAAUCAUGCCAGCAUCCUGACCAAGCCUGACCCAAGAACCUUCUGGACUAAUGAUGAUUCAGGUAUUAUUGGAAAAAUACACUCUGGCCCUGUGAUGUACAAGAAGCAUUCUGUAGUAAAGCCCUACACAAAGGCAAGGUUUGGGGGGAAAUUGUGUUUUGCUUGUUUGUUUCUUUGUUUAUACCUAGUCCAACACUUGACUAUACUUCAUAUAUAUAAUU